UUGGACACCUAAUAGUAGCCCAAAUCUUUCAUAUGAUAUUUUGGAGUUUCUGAGGUAAAGUGAGAGCGUUUCUCUGAGAUUUGGUUCAACUUCCAUGAUCUGCUACCUGAAUUUUCCAGUUUCUGCAGUAACCCUUUUCUCUCUCCUUGCAUCUGGCUGUAUGAUGACUCAUCAUCUAAGCUUCCUUUUUUAUCUUACUUCUUUCCUGAUAAUUUGCUGCAGAAAAUUGACAAGAUGUAUGCUGCUUUUACUGGCCAACCUCUCGAGCAAGUGCAACAAUACACUGAGAGGGAUCGUUUCUUAUCUGCUUCUGAGGCCAUGGAGUUUGGCUUCAUCGACGGUAUCCUAGAAACCGAGUACUAAAAUUCCAGCCAUCCAUGGAAGAUUAUUCAAUGCAAAUUUGGAACUUGGUGCUGCAGAUUGCUGUUUUGAGGAUGAUCAAUUGUACCGUCAUGUGUGAUGUUGCAAAUGGUGCCAUAUCAUGGUGCCUAUAGAUUUUAAUGCUAAUUAGUUGAGGUUCUGAUUAUAGAAAUACAAGAUUGUUUUAUUUUAA